rnacentral:rRNA from 1 species
GGUGCCUUCGGGAACUCUGAGACAGGUGCUGCAUGGCUGUCGUCAGCUCGUGUUGUGAAAUGUUGGGUUAAGUCCCGCAACGAGCGCAACCCUUAUCCUUUGUUGCCAGCGGUUAGGCCGGGAACUCAAAGGAGACUGCCAGUGAUAAACUGGAGGAAGGUGGGGAUGACGUCAAGUCAUCAUGGCCCUUACGAGUAGGGCUACACACGUGCUACAAUGGCGCAUACAAAGAGAAGCGACCUCGCGAGAGCAAGCGGACCUCAUAAAGUGCGUCGUAGUCCGGAUUGGAGUCUGCAACUCGACUCCAUGAAGUCGGAAUCGCUAGUAAUCGUAGAUCAGAAUGCUACGGUGAAUACGUUCCCGGGCCUUGUACACACCGCCCGUCACACCAUGGGAGUGGGUUGCAAAAGAAGUAGGUAGCUUAACUUCGGGAGGGCGCUUACCA